CCAAAAAAGCGCCUGAACUAAAUCGGACGGAGUGGUUUAGUUGACGAGGUGGAGGUUUAUCGAAGAUUCGGCGGGUACCUCCCAGUUGAAGUGCACAGCUGUAUAUUUCAACUUUAAAACAAUAAGGUAACUUAUUGGACAACGAGUUGAAAA
rnacentral:ncRNA from 1 species